rnacentral:rRNA from 1 species
GGCGUGCCUAAUACAUGCAAGUCGAACGCUUCUUUUUCCACCGGAGCUUGCUCCACCGGAAAAAGAGGAGUGGCGAACGGGUGAGUAACACGUGGGUAACCUGCCCAUCAGAAGGGGAUAACACUUGGAAACAGGUGCUAAUACCGUAUAACAAUCGAAACCGCAUGGUUUUGAUUUGAAAGGCGCUUUCGGGUGUCGCUGAUGGAUGGACCCGCGGUGCAUUAGCUAGUUGGUGAGGUAACGGCUCACCAAGGCCACGAUGCAUAGCCGACCUGAGAGGGUGAUCGGCCACAUUGGGACUGAGACACGGCCCAAACUCCUACGGGAGGCAGCAGUAGGGAAUCUUCGGCAAUGGACGAAAGUCUGACCGAGCAACGCCGCGUGAGUGAAGAAGGUUUUCGGAUCGUAAAACUCUGUUGUUAGAGAAGAACAAGGAUGAGAGUAACUGUUCAUCCCUUGACGGUAUCUAACCAGAAAGCCACGGCUAACUACGUGCCAGCAGCCGCGGUAAUACGUAGGUGGCAAGCGUUGUCCGGAUUUAUUGGGCGUAAAGCGAGCGCAGGCGGUUUCUUAAGUCUGAUGUGAAAGCCCCCGGCUCAACCGGGGAGGGUCAUUGGAAACUGGGAGACUUGAGUGCAGAAGAGGAGAGUGGAAUUCCAUGUGUAGCGGUGAAAUGCGUAGAUAUAUGGAGGAACACCAGUGGCGAAGGCGGCUCUCUGGUCUGUAACUGACGCUGAGGCUCGAAAGCGUGGGGAGCAAACAGGAUUAGAUACCCUGGUAGUCCACGCCGUAAACGAUGAGUGCUAAGUGUUGGAGGGUUUCCGCCCUUCAGUGCUGCAGCUAACGCAUUAAGCACUCCGCCUGGGGAGUACGACCGCAAGGUUGAAACUCAAAGGAAUUGACGGGGGCCCGCACAAGCGGUGGAGCAUGUGGUUUAAUUCGAAGCAACGCGAAGAACCUUACCAGGUCUUGACAUCCUUUGACCACUCUAGAGAUAAG